CGUCCGUAGCCGGUUUAGUAAAUGCCUGGGUAAAUCGUGUAGCUUAACUAUACGACUUCCGGGUAGACUGCUAAACUUGAGACCGGGUGAGGCUAGAGGUACUCCUGGGGUAGAGGUGAAAUUCUGUAAUCCUAGGGGGACCACCAGUGGCGAAGGCGUCUAGCUAGAACGGGUCUGACGGUGAGGGACGAAGCCCUGGGGCACAAACCGGAUUAGAUACCCGGGUAGUCCAGGGUGUAAACGCCGCUUGCUUGAUGUUAGUUGGGCUCCGAGCCCAACUAGUGUCGGAGAGAAGUUGUUAAGCAAGCUGCCUGGGAAGUACGGUCGCAAGGCUGAAACUUAAAGGAAUUGGCGGGGGAGCACAGCAACGGGUGGAGCGUGCGGUUUAAUUGGAUUCAACGCCGGAAAACUCACCGGAGGCGACGGUUACAUGAAGGCCAGGCUGAUGACCUUGCCUGAUUUUCCGAGAGGUGGUGCAUGGCCGCCGUCAGUUCGUACCGUAAGGCGUUCUGUUAAGUCAGACAACGAACGAGACCCUCAUCUUUAAUUGCUACUAGUAAGUUCGCUUACUGGGCACAUUAAAGAAACCGCUGGCGAUAAGUCAGAGGAAGGCGAGGGCAACGGUAGGUCAGUAUGCCCUGAAUCCUCCGGGCUACACGCGCGCUACAAAGGCUAGGACAAUGAGCUUCAACACCGAGAGGUGAAGGUAAUCUCGAAACCUAGUCGUAGUUCGGAUUGAGGGUUGAAACUCACCCUCAUGAAGCUGGAAUCCGUAGUAAUCGCGGAUCAACAUCCCGCGGUGAAUAUGCCCCUGCUC
rnacentral:rRNA from 1 species